CAGCCGCCACGGGAAUACGUAGGUGGCAAGCGUUGUCCGGAAUUAUUGGGCGUAAAGGGCUCGCAGGCGGUUUCUUAAGUCUGAUGUGAAAGCCCCCGGCUCAACCGGGGAGGGUCAUUGGAAACUGGGAAACUUGAGUGCAGAAGGGGAGAGUGGAAUUCCACGUGUAGCGGUGAAAUGCGUAGAGAUAUGGAGGAACACCAGUGGCGAAGGCGACUCUCUGGUCUGUAACUGACGCUGAGGAGCGAAAGCGUGGGGAGCGAACAGGAUUAGAUACCCCUGUAGUCCCUGUCUCUUAUAA
rnacentral:rRNA from 1 species